UACGGGGGGGGCAAGCGUUGUUCGGAAUUACUGGGCGUAAAGGGCUCGUAGGUGGCCAACUAAGUCAUACGUGAAAUCCCUCGGCUUAACCGGGGAACUGCGUCUGAUACUGGAUGACUUGAGGUUGGGAGAGGGAUGCGGAAUUCCAGGUGUAGCGGUGAAAUGCGCAGAUAUCAGGAGGAACACCGAUAGCGAAGGCAGCUCGCUGGGACGGUACUGACGCUGAGGCGCGAAAGCGUGGGGAGCGAACAGG
rnacentral:rRNA from 1 species